rnacentral:rRNA from 1 species
UACGGGGGGGGCAAGCGUUGUUCGGAAUUACUGGGCGUAAAGGGCUCGUAGGCGGCCAACUAAGUCCGACGUGAAAUCCCAAGGCUUAACCUUGGAACUGCGUCGGAUACUGGAUGGCUUGAAUUCGGGAGAGGGAUGCAGAAUUCCAGGUGUAGCGGUGAAAUGCGUAGAUAUCUGGAGGAACACCGGUGGCGAAGGCGGCAUCCUGGACCAAUACUGACGCUGAGGAGCGAAAGCCAGGGGAGCAAACGGG